CGAAGAGCCUGGCAGUGGGACUUGUCCCUGCCCUGCCACAUGGAAGGACGGGGUCAUUCUGGGGGCCUCGUUCCCAUGCCUGCUCCUCGCUCCAUCUUUCCCCUCUUCUCUCUUCCUGUUUCUGCUUCUUUGGCUCUGCUUUCUCUUGGUUUUGGUGGAGAGUUGAGCUCAUUUCACACAUGUGAUCACUUGAUGUAGUGCAUUCCUAACUUUUCAGGUCUGGGGUGUUAACGACAGCAGGCUCUGUUCUGGCCUUUAGCAGGUAUUUUCUCACCAUUUGAAUUCUUCUGGCGUGUACUUCAAUGCGUUCUUCUAAAGUAUCUUCACUUGCCUUUCUCGCCUUCAAAGGAGCUGGUGCUCAGAGUGAGAAAUAGGAGCAGCACCUUGGUGUGUGAAGUGAAUGGUGAGAGCUAAGCAUCUUCUUACCUGAGGGGUGGAUGGAGCGGGGACAACAAGGGGUUACUGAUCCCUGGUGCUUGGGGAAGAUCCGAUGAUGACUGUUUCUACAGUGGCUUAAGGCAGCUGGCUCCCUGUGCCCCUCUCUUCACCUUCGGGGAGGAAACGUCAUCACCACAGAGCAUGAAUUUGCCCGUGGAGUCUUUCUUCCCUGCUCAUACCCAUGGCUGUGAGGGACCCCAGCUGACCACAGAGUUCCACUGUGCCCUCCUGAUACCCAGGCUUGCCUCCCAGCUGCCGAGAGCUGUACACACUUCUGUUGCGGCUCCAACUCUCCCAGCCAGCUGGAUGGUGUCAUCAGCAUUACAAGGUGGUGGCUCAGGAUGAAGUUGUCUGUUCCAGAAUGUCCCCAUGGACUGUCCCCUGUGGUUUCCAUGAACAACCCUGGGGCUCCACACCCAGGCUAAGAUCAAGGAAAGACCAACUGCAUGAUGAGACAGUGCAUAGACAGAACAGGGCCUCCAGUACAUGUCCACCCGGAACCAAGUUAACAUGAGGUGGCACUAGGUCAGGCUGUCUCCAAACCAAUGACUUAGGUCUUUGUAAGGAAAAUGUAGGGAGAUUUGAGAUGCAGAUACAGAGGAGGAUGACAUGUAAGAAUGGAGGCAGAGAUGGGAACAAUGCAGAAAUGAGCUGAGAAUUCCCAGCAGCCAACAGAUGCCAGAAGAGACAAGGAAGGUCUUCCUCC
rnacentral:lncRNA from 1 species